UACGUAGGUGGCAAGCGUUGUCCGGAUUUAUUGGGUUUAAAGGGUGCGUAGGUUGUGUUGUAAGUCAGUGGUGAAAUCCGGCAGCUUAACUGUCGAUGUGCCAUUGAUACUGCAGCACUUGAGUACAGACGAGGUAGGCGGAAUUGACGGUGUAGCGGUGAAAUGCUUAGAUAUCGUCAAGAACACCGAUAGCGAAGGCAGCUUACUAGACUGUAACUGACACUGAUGCACGAAAGUGUGGGGAUCAAACAGGAUUAGAUACCCUGGUAGUCCACACUGUAAACGAUGAUUACUCGAUGUUGGCGAUACACGGCCAGCGUCUUAGCGAAAGCGAUAAGUAAUCCACCUGGGGAGUACGCCCGCAAGGGUGAA
rnacentral:rRNA from 1 species